UAAGAGAAUGAUAAAACUAAAAAAAAUAUAUGAUGUACAUUACCAUGCAAACUUCCACCGAAAAUUGGUUUGAACGAGAUCUAGUAAUUAGUUUUUUUUUAAUACAACUAAAACUUAAAAAAAUAUUUUUCAUCAAACCCAUACGUGUGGGGUAUAUAUGGAUAGGUCUUCAAAAAUGAUAUUGGGGUUUCUAAUAUCAUUUUUUUCUAAAUUGAAUAGUUUGCGCGAGAGACACUUCCAAAGUGGUAAAAUGUGUCCCCCCCCCCUGUAACUUCUAAAAUAAGAGAAUGAUAAAACUA